UACGUAGGCAGCAAGCGUUGUUCGGAAUUACUGGGCGUAAAGAGUGUGUAGGCGGUGCUCUAAGUUCGGUGUGAAAUCUCCUGGCUUAACUGGGAGGGUGCGCUGGAAACUGGAGUGCUCGAGCGUGGGAGAGGAAAGCGGAAUUCCUGGUGUAGCGGUGAAAUGCGUAGAUAUCAGGAGGAACACCUGCGGUGUAGACGGCUUUCUGGACCAUAGCUGACGCUGAGACACGAAAGCGUGGGUAGCAAACAGG
rnacentral:rRNA from 1 species